rnacentral:tRNA from 1 species
GCCGACAUAGCUCAGUUGGUAGAGCAAGCGGCUGUUAACCGCUGGGUCACAGGUUCGAGUCCUGUUGUCGGCGCCA